UACAGGGGGUGCAACCGUUGCUCGGAAUUAUUGGGCGUAAAGCGCGCGUAGGCGGCUACUUAUGUCGGAUGUGAAAGCCCCUGGCUCAACUGGGGAAGUGCACCCGAAACUGAGUAGCUGGAGUACGAAAGAGGGUCGCGGAAUUCCCGGUGUAGAGGUGAAAUUCGUAGAUAUCGGGAGGAACACCGGUGGCGAAGGCGGCGACCUGGGUCGAUACUGACGCUGAUGCGCGAAAGCGUGGGGAGCAAACAGG
rnacentral:rRNA from 1 species